AUUGAACGCUGGCGGCAUGCCUUACACAUGCAAGUCGAACGAGGGUAGCAAUACCUUAGUGGCGAACGGGUGAGUAAUAUAUCGGAACGUACCCUAGAGUGGGGGACAACCAGUCGAAAGACUGGCUAAUACCGCAUACGAUCUACGGAUGAAAGUGGGGGACCGCAAGGCCUCACGCUCCUGGAGCGGCCGAUAUCUGAUUAGCUAGUUGGUAGGGUAAAAGCCUACCAAGGCAUCGAUCAGUAGCUGGUCUGAGAGGACGAUCAGCCACACUGGGACUGAGACACGGCCCAGACUCCUACGGGUGGCUG
rnacentral:rRNA from 1 species